rnacentral:sRNA from 1 species
AGACGCUGCAGCGAUGCCUCGCCCACGGCGGGUCAGUCAGCUCCUGGAUCUAUGCCUUUGGUGCUUCAUGAAGAAUAUUUCCAGAUAUCUCACAGACAUUAAGCCUUUGCCUCCCAACAUAAAAGAUAGACUGAUUAAAAUAAUGAGCAUGCAGGGACGGAUAACAGAUUCAAAUAUAAGUGAGGGUCACGCUCUGUUGCCCAGGCUGGAGUACAGUGGUGCAAUCUCAGCUCACUGCAACCUCCGCUGCCUGGACUUCGGUGAUCCCUCUUCAGCCUCCUGAGUAGUUGGGACUAUAGGUGUGAACCACCAUGUCUGGCCCACAUUUUAGAAUAUUAUAAAGUAUGAGGGUUUGUUUUUUUCCCUCCAGAUAAGAUAACCAAAAUGUCCAUAUGUAAUUAUCAGGGGAACCUGCCCCCAAUAUUUCAAUGUAGGUUCUUUCUAUUUUCCCUAAGUGUCGGCUGAUCUGAGAAAUAAAGAGAAAGAGUACAAAGAGAGGAAUUUUACAGCUGGGCCACCAGGGGUGACAUCACAUAUCAGUAGGACUGUGAUGCCCACCUGAGCCGCAAAACCAGCAAGUUUUUAUUAAGGAUUUCAAAAGGGAAGGGGUGUACGAACAGGGAGUAGGUCACAUGCUUUAAGGGGCAAAAAG